CACCUUCGGUGUCCGAGUUGUAAUUUGAAGAAGGUAACUUUGGAGUUGGCUCUUGUCUAUGUUCCUUGGAACAGGACGUCACAGAGGGUGAGAAUCCCGUGCGAUGAGAUGCCCAAUUCUAUGUAAAGUGCUUUCGAAGAGUCGAGUUGUUUGGGAAUGCAGCUCUAAGUGGGUGGUAAAUUCCAUCUAAAGCUAAAUAUUGGCGAGAGACCGAUAGCGAACAAGUACAGUGAUGGAAAGAUGAAAAGAACUUUGAAAAGAGAGUGAAAAAGUACGUGAAAUUGUUGAAAGGGAAGGGCUUGAGAUCAGACUUGGUAUUUUGCAAGCCUUACCUUCGUGGUGGGGUCCCCUGCAGUUUACUGGGCCAGCAUCGGUUUGGAUGGUAGGAUAAUGACUUGGGAAUGUGACUUUGCUUCGGUAAAGUGUUAUAGCCCUUGUUGAUACUGCCUGUCUAGACCGAGGACUGCGUCUUUGACUAGGAUGCUGGCAUAAUGAUCUUAAGUCGCCCGUC
rnacentral:rRNA from 1 species